GACCCUUUUUUUUUCUUUUCCCCAAGGCACUUUUAACCUAUAGGUUUUGUUGAGAUCUCUGUUUUUUCUUUCAUUUUUUAAUGUUAAAUUUAUCCUUUCACCCCCGUCGAUUUUGGAUCUCAUAAUUUAUUUUUGGUUCUUGGGUUCAGUGAACUAUUUUCGGUGCUUUCCAGGAUAUUUUCUUUCAUUUUCCUUUCUCCUAUUUCGGUGGAUUUUAGGGAGGUCUUUUAUUUCAUUUUUAAUGCUGAUAUAUUUUCUCCUUAGUCUGGACUAUGUCUUCUUGUCUGUUAUACCUAUUGAACACUUCUAUUUUUAAGUAAAAUUGUUAUAAAUAACAUGGAGGUUUUAUUGGUAGAUCUUUACAUUUAUGACUAAAGUUAGAUAUGUUUCAAAGCUAGAAAGUAGAGUUGCAGCAGUGGAUGAAUCUAUUAUGGCAAUGGAAACUCUCCCACUUGAACUUGUUCGAGCAAGGUGAGCUCCACAAACUUUUUGAAUAUCGAUAUUAACCAGUAUAUCUGUAACUAUGAGACACAAAAAAAGGAAGAAAGAAACUUAUGCAUAUUUAUGAGAUUAUCCUUUUGUAUAUCUGUAAAUAUACUUUUGUGUUUUAUGAGAUUAUCCUUUGUCGAAUUCCUAGUGAAGAGUACUAAAAUUGAAUAGAAAAGGUGAAUAAAUCACUAAACUUAGCUUGGAUAUUUCAUUUGACAUCUAAGGUUCAUCGCUUCAUCAGUUUGACUAGUUUCAUUUCCUAUACAAUGACUACCCUCAAAUGCAUUGCCAUGUUCUAAUCCUAGUCGAACAAGGACUUAUCAAGUUGAAAGCUAGCAAACUAACUUAAAGCAAUAUUAAGUUAUUGUUGUUAUUAUGGAUAUUAGGGGAUUUCUAAAUCCCAUAAUAUCAUCUCUCGUCAAAUCAAGAAUUAAAUAGGAUAUUGUGUUUACAAUUUCGUAAUUAGUGAUUCUUUGUUUCCAGAUUUUCCCUUGCUUUAUGUGCUAUAAAUAAGGUUGUUUAACAAUAGCCCUAUGCAGAAAAAUCAGAAAAAAAAAACACACAAAUAUAUGCAUUCUCUUAGCCUUUUUCUCUCCAUUUCUUCAUGGUGUCAGAGCUGUUUCUGAAACCAAAUCCCUUUUUUUUUUCUUUUGUAAAUUCUUAAAUUCUUCUUACCUAUUAAGUUCCCAUGGCAACUAAAAGGAGAACUUCGCCCACUUAUUCUGAAGUCACAUCCAACCAAGAUCCUGCUAAUACAAACACCAAUGGAGGAUUUGAAGGGAACUUACUACUUGUCACCAGCCACAAAUUAAACUGGAACAAUUAUUUGCAGUAGAGCCAAUCAGCAAUGUUGUUUAUUUACGACAAAGGAAAAGAUGAUCUUAUCACUGGAGCUGCUAUGGUAAUGUCAUUAAUUCUAUGAUUAAUUCAAUUGGUUCCGAAGAUGUGGCAUUUAGCAGGUUUGGAGUUUGAAUUCCAGUAUCUGCAUCCCUUCCCUUUAUCAGUCUGAGGCCUUUUCUUAUACCAAACAUAAUAAAUAAAUAAUAAAUAAAACGUUUUUCAACAGGAUAUGAUCAUCCUAUAUAUACUUGGAGGAUAACUCAUCUAAUUUCUGACCCUAUCCUCUCCAAGUAAAUAUAAAAAAGGGUUUAAAAUUACAUUAUCCUAUUCUUACACCGUUUUGUUGAUUUUAACUUCCCCUUGAGUGAAGCUUUUAUUUACUUCAUUUGGAUGAAUUUGUACAGCUAUAUUCCCUUUAAUCGUAAGCAUUUUUGCUGGUAAGUACUGGGCUGGAACUGCUACUGCUACAGGUGAUGUUUACAUAUGGGAUGGCAAGAAAAGUAUGGAUAAACCACCUGUUGCAACUCAGUUACACGGAGUUAAGGGAAAAAAGAUCCCUUAAAGAGUUGAUUUUGAGAGUUGGUCAUGAGAGAAUGGGUCCUUAAAAUCCUUAAGACCAGAGAGUUUCUGUCCACAACGGAAUACAAAUGAGGCUAACCAACUUGGAGGAACCUGACAGACGGAUCACAAAGUCUUUGGCUUUGUACGCCAACCAUUUGUAAGGCUCAUUAGAUAUUGAAGGUACUAAAGUUAUAAUUUUCUUUAUAAUUGUUUCAAAUUUGAACAUUCACAUUUCAAGUUUUAGGAUUUUCAUCUUCACUUCAAUUCUUAGAUUUACUUUUUUUCAUUUUAUUUCAUUAAUAUUUUAAGUAGGAAUUAAAAUUAUUAACAUAAUGACUUUUGAAUUGGACGAAGAUAUGUAUAAGAUUGAGCAAUUUAACAAAUUUAAAGAAACUCGAUUUAAGUUGGAAUCAAAUUGAAAGCUUUCAAUCCUUUAAAGGUAUGCAUUUAUAUUUAACCAAUUACCUAAAUUCUUACAUAUAAUUAAAUUUUAUGCCAAUUCAUUUCAGUGAUGAAAUUAUAUAAAUCUUUUGUAGAUGGUGGUAGAAAAUUGGAGUUGACCCACUUGGAAAAGCUUAAUUUAGAUGAAAAUCACUUCAAUACUAGUGUAUUUGCAUCCCUUAACAAGCUUUCAAAUUUGAAAUCUUUGAGCAUAAGUGACAAUGAAUUGAAAGGAUCAAUAGAUAUGAGAGGUAAACAUAUUAGUUUGUUAACAAGAAUAUAAUAAUGUUUUAAGAGAAUAUAGAUUUGGAAACAUUUAUCAACUUAAGGGAACUAGAUAUGAGGGCAAUGAAUUGAAAUAUUUGGCGAUCCACCAAGGUAUCAUUUAAUUGAACUUUCAUUUUGUUCAAAAUUUAGAAAUUUAGUUUCAAUUCUUAGUAAAGGUUAUUGUGAUAGAUAUUAAAAAAUUAUAUCAUUUCAUACUUGAAACAAAUGGGUGGAAAAAAGAAUUCAGUUUAAAAAAAUUUAAGAAAUAAGUGUUUGGUGAAAACAUCUUCUAAAUCCUUAUAGUGUGUUUGGAAUUUGGAAUUUGAAGCAAAGAGAAGAAGUGUGUAUGGAAAAUAGUAAGCAGCAACAUAACUAAAUCACCAUAUGCUGAUUAUGAGAAGAUUUAUUGUUCCUAUUCCCUUGGCUCCAAUUUUUUUGGUUCAAAACAUGAUGUCUAAGUGUAUGCUUGAGUAUUUGUCAAUCAAUCUUGUGAAAUAGUUUCUAGUUAAGGUGCCAUAGAAGCAUAUAGUCCAGGCAUAAUCUGUUCCUAUAAUUUAUGAUUGUUUUUUGGUUUCUCCUCUCCACAAAUUGUCUAAUGUAUUUGGCAGAAUGAGAUACAUGCAUUUCUCUCUGUGGAUGGGUAACCUAUAUCUUUGAUUUGAGGCAUAGUUUGAUGACAAGAUAA